GAUCAUGGCUCAGGAUGAACGCUGGCGGCGUGCCUAACACAUGCAAGUCGAACGGAGCUGCUUUGAUGAAGUUUUCGGAUGGAUUUAAACAGCUUAGUGGCGGACGGGUGAGUAACGCGUGGGUAACCUGCCUCACACUGGGGGAUAACAGUUAGAAAUAGCUGCUAAUACCGCAUAAGCGCACAGUUCCGCAUGGAACAGUGUGAAAAACUCCGGUGGUGUGAGAUGGACCCGCGUCUGAUUAGCCAGUUGGCGGGGUAACGGGCCCACCAAAGCGACGAUCAGUAGCCGGCCUGAGAGGGUGAACGGCCACAUUGGGACUGAGACACGGCCCAAACUCCUACGGGAGGCAGCAGUGGGGGAAUAUUGCACAAUGGGGGAAACCCUGAUGCAGCGACGCCGCGUGAGUGAAGAAGUAUUUCGGUAUGUAAAGCUCUAUCAGCAGGGAAGAAAGUGACGGUACCUGAAUAAGAAGCCCCGGCUAACUACGUG
rnacentral:rRNA from 1 species